rnacentral:lncRNA from 1 species
CAGAUCAUCUGACCCUCAUUACUGUGAAGGGCAGAGCUGCCACUGCAUAAUUCUGGGAAUCAGGGGCUUCACUGGGCCUUUCUCCAUGCUCCUAUGAACACGCUCCUGUGCGCAGUCUUCACUGCGACUGGAUUACCACGGCAGCCAGGGUUGGAAAAAGAACGGCAACAGAGACCAUGACCAGCACCAUCCUAAAGAAUGAGCACAGUGAACCCAAUGUGAAGUGUGGGCAGAACAGGAAGGAGCCUGGUGCUCCAGCAGGUUCUCCUCUGAUGGUGUCAGACGUCCCUUCAGCCCUAACAGCUUGGGUGCAGCACUCGUGGCACACUCAGGGAGCUGGAAGCAUCUGAGAAUUGACACCCCAGGUGCAGCCCUCAGCCUAAUGCCGUGCGG